UACGAAGGGGGCUAGCGUUGCUCGGAAUCACUGGGCGUAAAGCGCACGUAGGCGGACUCUUAAGUCAGGGGUGAAAUCCUGGAGCUCAACUCCAGAACUGCCUUUGAUACUGGGAGCCUUGAGUUCGAGAGAGGUGAGUGGAACUGCGAGUGUAGAGGUGAAAUUCGUAGAUAUUCGCAAGAACACCAGUGGCGAAGGCGGCCUCACUGGCUCGAUACUGACGCUGAGGUGCGAAAGCGUGGGGAGCAAACAGG
rnacentral:rRNA from 1 species